GACGAACGCUGGCGGCGUGCUUAACACAUGCAAGUCGUACGGUAAGGCCCUUUCGGGGGUACACGGGUGGCGAACGGGCGAGUAACACGUGAGUAACCUGCCCACAACUUUGGGAUAACGCUAGGAAACUGGUGCUAAUACUGGAUAUGUGCCCCUGCUGCAUGGUGGGGGUUGGAAAGCUCCGGUGGUUGUGGAUGGACUCGCGGCCUAUCAGCUUGCUGGUGGGGUAGUGGCCUACCAAGGCGGCGACGGGUAGCCGGCCUGAGAGGGUGACCGGCCACAUUGGGACUGGGAUACGGCCCAGACUCCUACGGGAGGCAGCAAUGGGGAAUAUUGCACAAUGGGCGCAAGCCUGAUGCAGCAACGCCGCGUGCGGGAUGACGGCCUUCGGGUUGUAAACCGCUUUCAGCAGGGACGAAGCUUUUUGUGACGGUACCUGCAGAAGAAGCACCGGCUAACUACGUG
rnacentral:rRNA from 1 species